GAGUGCGCAGGCGCCGUGGGCCUCGCCCUGCCCCGCGGCGGGAACGCGGCCGUGAGGGUGUGGGGUGUAGGUCCGCCAGGCCUGCAACGGCUGCCGAGGGUCGUGGGAUGCGCUCGCCGCGUCCCUGCUCAGGCGGAGGGAGCCCGGCCCGCCGCCAGGGUCUCGAGUCCGGGUCCAGGCAGGCGUGGAGGUGGCGGGAACGGCGCACCGCCCGGGUGGGCGUUGUUUUAAGGCCGCAGGGCUUGGGAGGCUUGUGUUGAGUUACAGGAGUAUGACAACUUUUCAACUUGAGUGCACACACUGUCCCCGGAAUCCCGCGUUCCAGGGAGGAAGCGCCUUUGACAGCGCGCGCCGGUUCGUGGGGCCCGACGGCGUGGGCCUGUGGUUGCGGACCUGGCGGAGAUGCGCGUUCGCUUCGAUUGUAGGCCAUUCCUUUUAGGAGCUGAGAAAGGAUCCGUUUUUACAGCAUUCUCGACCUGUGAUUCUUGGUGGGGGAAACUAGUUAUGUGGAUAAAAAUACAGUUAGCAAAAUAAAAAUGCCAAUUUUACAUUUCCUUAAA
rnacentral:lncRNA from 1 species